UCUUGACAUCUACAGAACUUAGCAGAGAUGCUUUGGUGCGUUCGGGAACUGUAAGACAGGUGCUGCAUGGCUGUCGUCAGCUCGUGUUGUGAAAUGUUGGGUUAAGUCCCGCAACGAGCGCAACCCUUAUCCUUAGUUGCCAGCGAGUUAUGUCGGGAACUCUAGGGAGACUGCCGGUGAUAAACCGGAGGAAGGUGGGGACGACGUCAAGUCAUCAUGGCCCUUACGAGUAGGGCUACACACGUGCUACAAUGGUAUGUACAGAGGGAGGCAAGCCAGCGAUGGUGAGCGGAUCUCUUAAAGCAUAUCGUAGUCCGGAUCGCAGUCUGCAACUCGACUGCGUGAAGUCGGAAUCGCUAGUAAUCGCAAAUCAGAAUGUUGCGGUGAAUACGUUCCCGGGCCUUGUACACACCGCCCGUCACACCAUGGGAGUGGGUUGCAAAAGAAGUAGGUAGCUUAACCUUCGGGAGGGCGCUUACCACUUUGUGAUUCAUGACUGGGGUGAAGUCGUAACAAGGUAACCGUA
rnacentral:rRNA from 1 species